rnacentral:rRNA from 1 species
GGAGUCUGGGCCGUGUCUCAGUCCCAAUGUGGCCGAUCAACCUCUCAGUUCGGCUACCGAUCGUAGGUUUGGUGGGCCGUUACCUCACCAACUGCCUAAUCGGACGCGAGGCCAUCCUUCAGCGAAUAAAUCCUUUGGUCGGAAUGUCAUGCGGCUCUCCGACAUUAUGCGGUAUUAGCAACCAUUUCUAGUUGUUGUUCCCCACUGAAGGGCAGGUUCCUCACGCGUUACUCACCCGUCCGCCACUAGGAUUCUGCCGAAACAAAAUCCCCGUUCGACUUGCAUGUGUUAGGCACGCCG